rnacentral:lncRNA from 1 species
CCAGGUGCUGGCGUGGGGGCUGCGGGGGCUGCGGGGGGGCGUGCGGGCGCCCAGCCUGGAGGUGCAGUGUGGGGGCCAGACCCUGCGGACCCCCCCCAUCGCCGACCUCGCCACCAACCCCAAUUUCCCCAUCAACGCCUUCCUGCUGACGCUGGNNNNNNNNNNNNNNNNNNNNNNNNNNNNNNNCCCCAAUUUCCCCAUCACCGCCUUCCUGCUGACGCUGGUGAGGAUGAUGGGGGGCUGGUGGGGGGGUGUGUGGGGGGUAGCACCCCCCGGGGGGGCUGCUGCUGGCCCCCCGGGGUGACGGGGUGGCUCGGCCCCAGCAUCUCCCGGAGGAGGAGGGGUACAUGCCCCCCAUCCGGCUGCGGGUGCUGGACACGAGGGGUUUUGGGUACCGGCCCGAAGUGGGGCAGGCCUGCGUGCGGGACCUGGGGCGCUACUGCUGCCAGCCCCACGGCGAGGGGCAGCCCCACAGCUCUGGAAACCUUCCUCCUGACUCUGGCAGGACCCCAUCCCGGGGUGGUUUCUUUGUCCCUCUCCUCCCCACAGCUGCUCCCUGGGGCAGGAUAGCUCGGGUGAGUCCUCCACGUCCCCAGCACCCACCGCACAGCGGGGUCCCCCGUGCCUCAGUUUCCCCAAGUAGAGUCCCCUUUGCUCCCUGCAGAUGCUGCCCAGGAUCACCACCAAGAAGAAGGGGGCUGUGGACAACAAGGUGGGCACGGGAAUGGGGCCACCAAAGCCACCAGGGCAACUCAUGCCACCAGUGUCCCCCCCCCAUCCUGCUCCCCACCAGGCUGCGGAGGAGGAAGAUGAGGAAGAGGACGACUGGUGGAGCAAAUUCUACGCGGCCAUGGGGGACAAGGCAAAGAGCCGGAGGAGGAACAACAGGGACAGACUGAAGAUCUACAGCUGCGAGCUGGAGGCGGUGCCCGAAUUCGAGGGGCUGCAGGAUUUCUGUCAGACCUUCCCCCUCUACCAACCGGGGGGGCACCCCACGCCGGGGGAGGACCCUGUGGGCGAGUUCAAGGUGGGUGAGAGCCCCUUGGGGGGACCCCAGAGCUGGGGUGGGGGCACCUCGGGGUGCACAGCCAGGUGGGUCUCCCAGGGGCUUUUCUGUGUCUACCCCCUGCCCGAGGAC